UUUCCGUAGGGGACCUGGCGGAGGAUUCAUGG
rnacentral:rRNA from 1 species